AAUAUAUAAAACUGCCAUCAACAAAACCACUAGGAAUAUGUUUGAACAGAGCAUCUGUCCCUAAAUUGACUUCGAACAUGAAAAACAAAAAUGGUAAGUUAAAAAUAUGGCACUUCAUAACUAGAGGACGACUGACUACAAGAUAAACGCAGGUAUGACCUUAACUAUUGACAAGUAGAGUAAAAUGCCUAAUCUCUGCCAGACUCUCCCAACUAUUGUUUAGAUAUCUGAAUA
rnacentral:misc_RNA from 1 species